GACAGAGGAUGCAAGCGUUAUCCGGAAUGAUUGGGCGUAAAGCGUCUGUAGGUGGCUUUUUAAGUCCGCCGUCAAAUCCCAGGGCUCAACCCUGGACAGGCGGUGGAAACUACCAAGCUGGAGUACGGUAGGGGCAGAGGGAAUUUCCGGUGGAGCGGUGAAAUGCGUAGAUAUCGGGAAGAACACCAAAGGCGAAAGCACUUUGCUGGGCCGAAACUGACACUGAUAGACGAAAGCUAGGGGAGCAAAUGGG
rnacentral:rRNA from 1 species